UAUCAUUUAAUUCAUAUAGAAUGCUUUCACAUCAUCUCUAACACAACGGAGUGUUUGGCUGCAAGUUUAGCUAAUAAACCUAGCAAGUUGCAUGGGCUAGAUCUGCCUAGACGCUUCCAUGGUUCUUGCAUCUUUUGCCUCACUAACCAUUACAGAUCUUUCCCCCUAAAUUAGCAAACAAGAAGUUUAAAGGCAAGAAAUUGAGUAUUGUUUUCCAAAAAUAAAUAAAUAAAA
rnacentral:misc_RNA from 1 species